GAUGAACGCUGGCGGCGUGCCUAAUACAUGCAAGUCGAGCGAACAGACGAGGAGCUUGCUCCUCUGACGUUAGCGGCGGACGGGUGAGUAACACGUGGAUAACCUACCUAUAAGACUGGGAUAACUUCGGGAAACCGGAGCUAAUACCGGAUAAUAUAUUGAACCGCAUGGUUCAAUAGUUAAAGACGGUUUUGCUGUCACUUAUAGAUGGAUCCGCGCCGCAUUAGCUAGUUGGUAAGGUAACUGCUUACCAAGGCGACGAUGCGUAGCCGACCUGAGAGGGUGAUCGGCCACACUGGAAGUGAGACACGGUCCAGACUCCUACGGGAGGCAGCAGUAGGGAAUCUUCCGCAAUGGGCGAAAGCCUGACGGAGCAACGCCGCGUGAGUGAUGAAGGUCUUCGGAUCGUAAAACUCUGUUAUUAGGGAAGAACAAAUGUGUAAGUAACUAUGCACGUCUUGACGGUACCUAAUCAGAAAGCCACGGCUAACUACGUG
rnacentral:rRNA from 1 species